AAAACCCUCAAGCGAAAGCGACCAGCUUUAACCUCAACGCCGCUGGCCUACUACUUAACGAUUGACCAGAAGGCAGUCCAAAUUGAAGCCCUAAACAGAGAAAUCGAAGGACUUUUUCGGUAUUACAAACAAUUGGUAAAUCAGAAACUGGGGUUUGGUUUUUCUUCAGAUUUGGGUGGAAAUUACUGCAAUACGCUGAAUGGGAUGGUGAGCAUGUUGAUGGAGGAGAGCGACUUGGCCCUGUCGAAAUUGGUGGAGGAGAUUUAUAGAAAGUUGGCUGGGGAGAGACUGAAGGACAAUGUG
rnacentral:misc_RNA from 1 species